rnacentral:rRNA from 1 species
UACGAGGGGGGCUAGUGUUGUUCGGAAUCACUGGGCGUAAAGGGAGCGUAGGCGGCCGCCUAAGUCAGACGUGAAAUCCCUCGGCUCAACCGGGGAACUGCGUCUGAUACUGGGUGGCUUGAAUCCGGGAGAGGGAUGCGGAAUUCCAGGUGUAGCGGUGAAAUGCGUAGAUAUCUGGAGGAACACCGGUGGCGAAGGCGGCAUCCUGGACCGGCAUUGACGCUGAGGCGCGAAAGCCAGGGGAGCAAACGGG